rnacentral:rRNA from 1 species
GUCGAGCGGGCGUAGCAUACGUCAGCGGCAGACGGGUGAGUNNNGCGUGGGAACAUACCUUUUGGUUCGGAACAACACAGGGAAACUUGUGCUAAUACCGGAUAAGCCCUUACGGGGAAAGAUUUAUCGCCGAAAGAUUGGCCCGCGUCUGAUUAGCUAGUUGGUGAGGUAACGGCUCACCAAGGCGACGAUCAGUAGCUGGUCUGAGAGGAUGAUCAGCCACAUUGGGACUGAGACACGGCCCAAACUCCUACGGGAGGCAGCAGUGGGGAAUAUUGGACAAUGGGCGCAAGCCUGAUCCAGCCAUGCCGCGUGAGUGAUGAAGGCCCUAGGGUUGUAAAGCUCUUUUGUGCGGGAAGAUAAUGACGGUACCGCAGGAAUAAGCCCCGGCUAACUUCGUGCCAGCAGCCGCG